GCCUCCUCGACCGCGCUCUCUGCUUCUGUUACCUUUUGCAGGUCCACCACUUUGACCUCAAGGUAACAAACUUUUCCCCUGAAAGCCAGCAGCCCUUUGCCCUUUGGACAUGGCCACUACUUUUUCUCGGUGGGGAGCCAGUCCUACGUACGGCAGACCGUGCGAAACACGGUUGCCUCUCUACCUACAGUCAGCCGGGCUUACUCCCGAGUAAAGGCGCCUAGGGGGACAGAGGGGGAGGGACGAGGGCGGUCGAGAGCGUCUGCUCGCAAGAGGCACCAGCAGAAGACCUCGGCGCGCACCUGCCUUUCUUCGCCGAGGUUCAGCGGGGCUGCAAGCCGCACCGACAGCUCCCUCCACCCGCCACUGGGAGCCUCCGCGCCCGCAUCCCGGCAAAGCAGCGGCGGCCUCUCGGGCUGAUGUCAUCGGCCGCUUGCGAGAGGCUGUGCCUGCGCGCUCGAGCCGAGAGGGGGAAUCGAGCCGCCAGUUGCGCGGGCCACGCAGCCUCGGCAGCGGCGACGACCAGCCGCGGGUUGGAGCUGCUCCUGGGCUGACGGAUGCGGGGAGAUGUAGGCAGCCGGAGCGCGGCUCCUCUUGCUAGCUGAGCUUCUGGCGGAUCCCGGGAAGGGCGCUUGGGCUUCCCAGCUGCGAGGGAUUCCGCCGACGGUGCGGGGCGAAAGGAAAGCCGGAGAGCCGCCGCCGCGCUUGGCAAGGAUGCGCGCUUCGUCGCAGCUGGCGGCGCCUUGUCUUGUCCCCGCUGCCGGGCUCCGGGCUCUGGCCCAGCGCAGGCAGCCGACGCCCCAGUGAUCGCAGCUGGAGGAGAGCGAGCCUCGCCAGGCUCCGCCGCGGGGACGCUUUCUCGCUCCAGCAAGCGAAGCUCUUUCCUCUCUGGGCAGGGCCCGUAGGCAGGGGAGAAGUUGGCGGCCCCUCUCGCCGCCCCCCGUCCUGCCCGAGCCCGCGGGAAUCCAAGCCAAGCCGCGGCCGCUGCCCCCUUCCCACGUUCCGAGGGGCCGCGGAGAGACGCGGCAGGCGGUGGCGCCGGAAAGCCGCCUCAGCUCAGGACCUCAAUACCUCAAGGACUGCCUCUCCCCACAUGGACUGACUUGGGCCCUGAGAUCAUCACUGGAGCCCCCCAGGAGGUCCCGAGGGUGGCAACACAAGAAGAGGCUCCUCACUUGUAGAAUGCUCUCCCCAGGGAGGAUCACAUGGCACCAUCAGUACAUUUCUUUAGGUGCCAGGCAAAAACAUUUCUCUUUUUUUGCCAGGCCUUUGACUCUUAAUAAGCUCUGGUCACUUUGACUGUGUGGAAUGUUUUAAAGCUGCCUUUUAAAAAUUUGAUUGCCCGUUAGAUUUUUCUUUGUUUUUCUUUUAUGCUGGUUCUAAUGUAUUGUGUGUUUCUUUACAUAUUGUACAUUGCCUUGAGCUGCCUUGUUUAAAAAGUGAUCAGUACAUUUACAUAAUAAUAA